rnacentral:rRNA from 1 species
GACAGAGGGUGCAAACGUUGUUCGGAAUUACUGGGCGUAAAGCGUGUGUAGGCGGCUACGUAAGUCGGAUGUGAAAGCCCCGGGCUCAACCCGGGAAGUGCACUCGAUACUGCGUAGCUUGAGUACCGGAGAGGUUGGUGGAAUUCUCGGUGUAGAGGUGAAAUUCGUAGAUAUCGAGAGGAACACCGGUGGCGAAGGCGGCCAACUGGACGAGUACUGACGCUGAGGCGCGAAAGCGUGGGGAGCGAACAGG